UGCUAUAAAGUACUAGUGUACAGAGAAGUUUGGACCCUCAGGUAAAGGUGCGACCCCUUUUAUGGCAG
rnacentral:tRNA from 1 species